UACGUAGGUCCCGAGCGUUGUCCGGAUUUAUUGGGCGUAAAGCGAGCGCAGGUGGUUUAAUAAGUCUGAUGUAAAAGGCAGUGGCUCAACCAUUGUGUGCAUUGGAAACUGUUAGACUUGAGUGCAGUAGAGGAGAGUGGAAUUCCAUGUGUAGCGGUGAAAUGCGUAGAUAUAUGGAGGAACACCGGUGGCGAAAGCGGCUCUCUAGACUGUAACUGACACUGAGGCUCGAAAGCGUGGGUAGCAAACAGG
rnacentral:rRNA from 1 species